rnacentral:rRNA from 1 species
UUAUACAGCGAAACUGCGAAUGGCUCAUUAUAUAAGUUAUCGUUUAUUUGAUAGUACCUUACUACUUGGAUAACCGUGGUAAUUCUAGAGCUAAUACAUGCUAAAAAUCCCGACUUCGGAAGGGAUGUAUUUAUUAGAUUAAAAACCAAUGCCCUUCGGGGCUCACUGGUGAUUCAUGAUAACUCCUCGAAUCGCAUGGCCUUGCGCCGGCGAUGGUUCAUUCAAAUUUCUUCCCUAUCAACUUUCGAUGUUUGGGUAUUGGCCAAACAUGGUUGCAACGGGUAACGGAGGGUUAGGGCUCGACCCCGGAGAAGGAGCCUGAGAAACGGCUACUACAUCCAAGGAAGGCAGCAGGCGCGCAAAUUACCCAAUCCCGACACGGGGAGGUAGUGACAAUAAAUACUGAUACAGGGCUCUUUUGGGUCUUGUAAUUGGAAUGAGUACGAUUUAAAUCCCUUAACGAGGAACAAUU